rnacentral:lncRNA from 1 species
AUCUCUUUAACUAGGCAAAAUGGAUAUGACAAAGGACCUGAUCAAAAGCCCCCCAAAGACAUCAAGUGCUGAUCAGUGCACACUGUCAACCUUACCAGUAUUUCAGAAAAGUCUGCAGAGCAUUACUCCUUCCGCCUGCCUGCCUCCAAUAUAACUUAUCACCAGUACAUAACCUUGGUAAGGCUUGUGGACAGCUACUGCCCACACACAUUUAGUUGUUCUUUUCAGCAAGAUGUCACAUCAUAAAAAAUAGGCUUCUUCCUCAAAAUAAUGUAGAUUUUUUUAAACUGAAGAUAUAAUGGGUAAUGGAGAAGACAGUUUAGAUUGCCUAUACCACAGUGAUACUUAGUAAUAUCUCUAUAAUACAUCUUAGAUCUAUUCCCAAAUGUUCUUUCUGGCUGACUUAUGUUCAUGUCCUAAUCUCUUCCAGAGCCUCCAAAACCUUAACUGUUUUCUGGAGCCCUUCAGCUCUGUUCACACUUCACUUCACAAAACAUAUCAAAGCUUGCUGGCCAGUCAGCUUUUUGCCCCUAAGAAAUCAAUUCAGGUUCAGAGGUUAUCUAGUGUUACUGAAGUCUGUCCCUAAAGCUUUAGGUCAGGAUUCCAGGAAGCAAAUCCUGUUCUCCAGGAAGCAAAGUAUUAACACUCAAGAAGGGUAUAUGGGUGAGAGUGUGGGAAGAAAGAGAGAAGCAAUUCUGAUUUAAAAGAAGCAAGAUUUUCUUUUCCUCUAUGUGCUAACAUCUGGAAAUGUAUUCCCAUCUUUAGACUAAGCUGGUGCCUAGAAUCAAUAAAUUAAACACAAGAUCUCAUUUGAGAUAAAUGAUAAAUGAUGAAAUAAAAAAUUAUAGUGCCUAAAUUAAUUCACCAUUUAGCGUGUCUCAAUAGAUAGUUUUAAUCUAAAAUAGACUGUGGGCAGAGUUAAGUUCAAGGAAAUUGGAAGUAAAUAAUAAGUUACUGUUUUAAAUGAUUUUAAAAAAGGGUAGCCAGUAAAAUAUCAUAAAUAUAUUCAAGAC